UGUUCUUUCCUUCCACUGUGCAUCCAUGGACUGAGCUCAGAUCAUCAGGCUUGUGCAACAAGCACUUUAAGUCACUGAACCAUCCCCUACACACACACACACACACACACACACACACACACACACACGCACGCAUGCACGCACGUACGCGCGCACACACACACACACACUCACCAUACACACAGUUUUUUUUUUAUUAAGGCGUCAUUUUUGCUAUUGAAAUGAAAAGUCCUCCUGUCCUAGUUUUAUUUCUAUUGCUGUGAUGGGGGUUAGGGGGGACCUUAACAAAAAGCAGCCUGUGAGAGAAUAGGGUUUAUUUCAGCUUCAAGUCCAGGCUAUAGGUCAUCAUUGUGGAGAACUGAGAGAAGGGACUUCAAACAAGCCACAGCAUAUCCACGGUGCAGAGCAGAGAGAACGAAUGCACACUCGUGCAUGCACUUGCUGGCUUGUGUCCAGCUCAACUUGCUCACCGGCAUACAGUUAGGUUCCCCUCGCCCAGAGCGGGCUGGAUCUUCCCACAUCAACUAACUUAAUCGGGACAGCUCCCCACAGACACACCUCCAGUGGACAACAUAGAGGAUUCCUCACUGAGGCUCUCUUCCCUGGUGGUUCGAGGUCCCACACACACCCCGCCAGAUAGUGUAUGCAUUUGCAGCCUGUGUUCUUGGUGCAGCAGUGUUCAAUGGGAGAGUCUGUGGAAUAUGUUUGGGUCCUGGAAAUGGAGCCUUCACGAGUGGACCAGUACUCUCCUCCCUCAGAUGAGCUAGCCACCACCCUUCCCCUCCUCCACAGCUUCUGGUUGUCUCAUUUCUUCUCACCGUAAGCUGAAGCAUCAUGAAGUCGAGCAGAUAUGACAUAAUGUUCUUUGACUUCCAGCCUCCAGAACUAUGAGUCAAAAUAAGCUCAUAAAAUAAAUGAUCUGUGUCUCGGCUCUUCUGUUAUAGAUAUUGAAAAUGGAUAACGCAGAUCUAUUUACAGUAAAAUGUAUUCAUAGUAAACGUCACUUUAUUUCGCGUACAAUUGUGAAGGGUUUUUAAAAUUUCUAUCCACUUUACAUCUCAAUAGCAGCUCCCUCUCUCCUCCCAGUACCCUCUUAGGCAGAACCUCUCCCCCAUUCCUCGCUCCCCUUCUCCUUUGAGAAUGGGGAGCCCACUCUAGGUAACUCCCCACCCACCUCAGCACAUCAAGUCACUGCAGGGCUACGCGUGGCCUCUCCCACUCCAGUUCUGAGCUUUAGCAACCGUACUUGCUACAGACAAGUGUCGUACUCCUCCUAACUCCCCAGUCUGUUUUGAUAAUCAGCCCUUGCCCAGGUACCAGCAUCACACAACACAUACCUGUGUAAGCAUGCCAUGCCAAGGACAUCGUACAGUGCGUGGCCUUGUAACUCUUGCCCUCAGUGGGGUGUAUCUGUGAUUCAUUCAUGUGUGCAGAUUGUAGGGUUUUAAAUGUGGUACAUAUGAAUGCGAUUGUGUUUACAGUUCUAAAGCAUACAAUUCAGUGGUAUUAAGUACCACUAUACAGAGAAUUCGGACUCUAAUCUACCCAUUCCAGACGGAUGUAACCUCCAGUUUGCAGCAGUUGACUCUCAGACAGGAAGUCCAGCUGAGCGACACUGUCUGAGUCCCCGCUGCCCAAGCACUAACCAGGCCUGAGUGACAUUGCCUAGCUUCCGUUCCAUGACUGCACCUGCAGGAUGGUAUGACUGGCUAGACUUUCUCACUUCAUGGUUGCACCAGACACCAGUCAUGCGAUCAACUCCUGCCCUCCUCCCAAGCUCUAUGGUUGACUCUCAGCCCAAGUCCAAGGCUCCAGCUCUCUAACUGCAUGGUCUUUCCUGAGUGAAAAAAAAAAUGUCAUCUGUAGCACGUCAUUAACAACAACCUAGGCAAGGUCCCAGGGUGAAAAGCCCUUUGUACUACAUGUAACCAGUAUCACAUGUAAAAGGACAGACACGUGAUAAAGCAAUCGGCUGAGGAGGUGGACACUGUCUUAUAAAUAUCUCUUCUUGACAAAGCUGAUAAUUACAUGUGAAAUUGUCACUGGGGUUUCUUUUCAAAUAAGAUCUUUUAACUGUGAGAGAAAUGAUUAAAUAGAGAGACUGCUGGGCGUGGUGGUGCACGCCUUUGAUCCCAGAGCAGGCAACCUGGACGAGGUUCAGAGGCGGUAUGGCGGAGGACCCACUUUUGCCCUCCUUGAGCCUUCAACAGAUUGGGGCAAGGCUUACUACAGGCUGGAGACUAAUUUGCUCCACUCAAAGUCCACCAAUUUAAAUGGAAAGCUGAUCCAAAAACACCCUCACAGAAAAGCCCAGCUUGGCUCGUCCAAGUUGGCAGAUUGACAAAAUCGUUAUCUCCAAAGUGUGCUCACCGAGGCAAUGUGAUUGGCCCAGAGUGGUUCCAACGAAUAAUAAUUAAAAAAACAACAAGGAGGAGGAAAUGUCCCAGAUGCUCUGGGAGAUUGCUCUGAGAGGGGAAAUUAGGAUCGUUUAUUAUCUUUCUUGAGCUCCUGGCUUGAGGAGGAACGGAGUGGGGGUGGGGGAUGGGUAUUGUGAUACACCUCAGACGCUGACAACUGCGGGGAGCAGAAAGAGUAUGUUAGGACUCAAGCACGGGGCUCAGGCAGAAAGAUUUCUCUGAAAGGUACAGAGAUAAGAACUCGGAGAUCUGAGGCUUCACCUGUAACUUAGCAUCUAUCAAACCUAAAACGGAAAAAAUGGUGAGAGACGUGGAACAGAAGAAUCAACUAGCAGGACUCACAGGGGCCCACAGGGACUAAAGCAGCAACAGUGGAUCCUUCAUGGGUCCGCGCUGGGUCCUCUGCUGUGGUCGUUUAGCUUGGGGUGUUUGCGGGACUCAAUAACAGUAGGAAUGGGGGUACCUCUGACUCUUUUGCCUGCUUUUGGGACCCCCUCUCCUUUCUCCUACUGGGUUGCCUCGUCUCCAGCCUUGACUUCAGGGUUUGUGCUGCAUCUUUUGUUUUAUGCUGUGUUCGAUUGACAUGGAUAGAAAGCUGCUCUUUUCUGAAGGGAAACAGAGGAGCAGCGGAUGGGCGGGGCAUGGGGUGGAGCUGGGAGGAACUGGGAGGAGUGGAGGGAGGGGUGGCUGCUGGUAGGGAGGACUGUAUGAGAGAGGACAAAAAAAAGAAGAAAAAAAAAGAGGAUUGUGGAAGAGAAUAGAAAAGUGUCACCCAGAGGCUUGUUACAACACAGAGAGACAUGUUCAGAUCAAAGUCUGUCUUCUUAAUGCGGAAAACAUGGUCUUUUUACUCAUCUCUGCCAGGCAAGCUGUCGUUUAUGUAUGCCGUUCUCCUAGCUUUCAUCUUUUACCAGUGUUUCCUUUUAGGCUCUGAUGGAAAAUUAGCUCCAGCGACAUUUUGCUAAAUGGAUGAGCUUCAGUGAAUUCUAUUAAAUCAGCCUCAUAACUCAGCCGCCUGGUCCUUAAUCACUUCUUCUGCUCUGGCCGGCGGUUUCCCGCUUAUCUCCCUCCAGCCUGGAGCUCUCCACGGUUGAACACAGUGUCCUUGAUUUUAGCCCUCAGUGUUGUGGUGCAGGCUGGCUCCUAUCUCUGCUCAUUCCUUCCUCACCCUUCCUCCCUUCCAAGGUCCUCCCUAGACACUGCUUGGUGCUCCCAGACAACAUGCUGGGCCAAAUCUCAUCUAGGCUCUGUUCACCAGUGGCUCUGGCUUGGUGAGUUUCCAGGAAGAGGGACAAAGGCUGAUGUACUCCUGGCUCAGGAAAUUGUCAAGUGUCAAAAGGAUGGGGCUGUUGGAGGAACUGGAGGAAGUUGGUGCUCAUGGUGACAGGGGGGUUAGGAAAGCCUCAGGGGUCAGCUUGGAGAAAAGCAUGAAGGUGCCGGAAGCUAUCUUCAGACCCGCAUGCUCUCUUCACCCUCAGAUCCCCUCCAAGGUUUCCAUGCCUGCUGCCUCUUUCUAGAAGCUCUGGUCUCCUGAGCCUGCUGAACCCGGAGAGCCAGUAAGAUUCUGGAUUUGAUUUCCACACGAACAUUUAUUCAAAUUUACAUUUAAUUAACUCUGAACCAAUAUCUAAAGGGCAAAGGAUUUGAACAGAGAGUUCACCAAAGGAUGUAGGAAGAUGACGAAAAACAGAAGUGCAUGCAAAGCUGACAGACACCACGAGUCGUUAGGAAAGUGCAAAUUAAGCCCACUAUGUAGUCACCAGCACGGUCACAAUGAAAAGGGAAGGUUGGCAAGCUCAUUCUCUGAUGCUACGGAAGGUUGGAAGGAUUGGUCGACUUCUCUGAAAGGUAAACGCACAUGUGCUAGAUCAUCCCGCUUUUUUAUAAACGUAUCCCAGAAGAAAUGGAAGUCCAUCUCCACACAAAACCUCAUUCACAAAUGUUUUAGCAGCUUCAGAGCCCAGGCCUGAAUAGGUUGCUGCCAUAACAAAAUAGCACAGUCACGUGGCUUAAAAAAGAGAAACUGCAGCUGGACGUGGUGGCACACAUCUUUGAUCCCAGCGCUUUCGGAUAGAGGCAGGUGGAUCUCUGUGAGUUUAAAGCCAGCCUGGUCUACGGAGUGAGCUGCAAGACAACCUGGGCUACACAGAGAGACCCUGUCUCAAACAAUAACAAAGCCAAACAAAGAAACAAAAAACAAACCCAGAAAUUAAUGUUCUCAGUUUUAGAGUCCAAAAGGUUGAAGAGUCUAACAAAGUCUUUGUUCCAGGCCUCCUUGUGGCCCCAUGGAUGGCUUCCUUACAAGGUUAUCCCUCUGAGCAUGUUCUGGGAGAGUGGCAGAGACCUUGUAGCUUCUGAAAAGUUCCUCUGGGCUCACUCCUGCAACGCAUGAGACAGAACCAGGCUACAGAAUGACAUCAGCUGAGCAGAACAGCUGACGUCAGAGAGCACCAAGCCCUCAGGCCAGCAAGUCAGGGAGGGCGCCUUCGAUAACCCUGACCCAGUAGCGCUAGAAGACAGCGGACACAUGAGGGAUGCUGGGUAAGACUCGGGUGAUCCUGGAGUACAGAGCCCUAAGCAAAUGCAUGGUUAUUGUUCUAAGUGGUGAGUGAGUUUUGGAGAGGCUGGUAUGCAGUGAAACAUAACAAGUGGGCCAGCCAUUUGUGGAAUUGCUGACAGGUUCCCAGGAAGACGCCUAAGAACUUGUGUCUCUAUUCUCAUCGCCUCUCUCUAAUAAUGGGCAAAUUGCUUGCCAUCUGCACCUCAGUUAGUUUGCUUUUAAAAGAAGAUGUAUUCUUCAUUUUAUUUAUAUUUUAUUUAUAUGUAUGUAUGUAUUUUUAUUUUAUGUGCGUGAGUGUUUUGUCUGCAUGCAUGUAUGUGCACCACAGGUAUGGUUGUGCCAACAGAGGUCAGAAGACGCCCCCUGGGACUGCACUUCACAGUGAGCCACUAUGCAGAUCUGGAAAUUGAACCAGGUUCCUCUUCAAGGACACUGUACACCGUAGCGCAUCUUCAGACACACCAGUAGAGGGCAUCAGAUCCCAUCCCAGAUGGUUGUGAGCCACCAUGUAGAUCUGGGAAUUGAACUAGGUUCCUCUUCAAGAACAAGUGCUCUGAAACACUAAGUGAACUUUCCACCCCUGUUCUUUUGUUUUGAUAGGGCCUCACUAUGACAAUCCCCCUGCCUCAGCCUCCCGAAGGCUGAGGUGACAGCCGUAUGCCUCUAUACCUGCCUAGUUUACUUUUCAAACCGGAAUGUCACUGUGUGUCUCAGAGUACAUUAAAAAAACAUUAUUUCUGUAGGAUGUUUCUAUAUGGAGCUCAGUGGGAGUGAGAAGUCUGGCUACAUAUUUAGUAAGUGUGUCUAUUUUGAUAGCUUUGGCUAAUAAGGUUUCUUUGUUGGGGCUAUCCUUAAAUAGACUCACUGUCAGGCUGUGCCGGGUAUGACUCGCAGAUAGUUUCCAGACUUCUUGUGACUGCCCCCUCUCUCCUCACAUGCCUGGUUCUCCCCCUUCCCCUCCCUGUGCCCUUCCUGACAUCUUGGGGGCAUCCUGUGAUUGAUGUCUGUGCUGCCCUUUGUUCUCUUCACUUGCCUGUGUCUCUUUUCUGUCUUGGGCUCCUCGGAGGAUGCUGCACAGUACUGGGGCUGUGUGCGUGCAUGAGCUGAAUGAAUUAGACCAUUCGGCUACCAAGCUGGAGUAGAAGGCCUCAAACAGGGUAGAGAUUUAAUUAUUUCACUACACAGAGCUUUCUGUGGGAGCUACCGUCUGGAAUGGGCUCAGAUCCUGUUUUGAAGAAGUGCCCACUGUCAGCUCUUAGGCUAUGUAGAGUAAAAGCAAGUGACUGCCCGCUGCCCUGGAGGAGUCCAGCAAGCAGGCUAAGUUAUAUGGCUAAGAUUGACUUCUUCUCUGGUAUGUAAAUUAACUUGGGGAGAGAGUGAGGUGGAACUGGUGACAACCAGAUUACUUCCUACGUGAGGUUUAACAUGAAUUCAUCCUUUCUGAUGCCUGGAUUUGUCCCAACAGGUAGAAAAGGGUGUCUAGACUCCCCCAAAGGCAAGCUAAAUCUAUAGCAAGAAAUAGGUGAAUUUGGCUCAAUACACCUAUCAGAAAGGCCAGUAUGGUCAGAAUGAAGGCUAGAAGCUCUCCUGACCCAGCAUCUCGUCCCUGGAGUGGACUUGGGAGCAAUAAUCAUCUUUACAAGUGAUACAAGUUGGAAUUUCAGGAGCCUAGGAGUCUGGAGGAAUGACCGCCCCACGUGGUAGCAGCCAGGAGCUGAAAUCUGGCAUGGAUGCCCAUUGCAACGAAAAACUGGUAAUGGCCCUGCUUGUACUGGCAAACAACUUUUACAACUCAUAAAAUCCUAAUCAUGUUGCUGGAAGCCCUUUCAACUCACAGUGUGUAACACCACCAUCAAAUACUUAAAAAAACAAAUUUUAAAAGUAAAAAUGGGGACUAUGCUUUCACUUAAACGCUCAACGCUUCGGGUGUUUAGCCAUGGUUACUUUAAUUUUUUUUUCACUUUAAAGGAUAAUGUUUCCUCUGUUACCCAAAAGCAUUUUUUCCCUAAAGGAGACACAGACAUGGACACAGUGUAUGUUAAAUGAAAGAUCUAGGAACCAAUCAGUCGGAAGGGCCUCAUGUUCUUCAAACAUCAGAGCAGGGUUACACUCAUGUCUUUCCAGAAAAUGAAAGAAGUCCCAGAUGAUAUCUGCCCCAUGCACCUGACCAAGACACCAUCCCAGAGACCACUGGACAGUGAAGCAUCUGAAGAAAGAUAAUAAACACACCAAGAGGAAGCAUCCCAAGAGGAAGAAGAAGCUGAUGACUUGGGGAAGGCAUCAAGACUUUAAUUCAUCAAGCUGAGACCUUGGGGAGACAAGGACCCAAUACUACUGACCCCCCAAAUGGUGACGUCAUGCUUAUUGACUAUAUUAUACGUUCAUUCUCAGAUUGUGCAAAAUCCAAAUACUUUAUUUUCUGGCAUGUGCUGCUUUAAUGUGUCAUAUUUCUCUCAUAUUCAAAUCAAUGAUCUGCAUAAAGAGAAAGACACAACAUCUCCAGUAACCUUUGAAGGCCAUCUUGAUUAAGAUGGCUUCCCCUUUCCUUGGUCCUCUGCUGGUAUUCCUACAAUUCUGUUACACAUGCAUAUAACGUUAGACCAGCCAUGCAGGCUAUGCAGCCAACCUUGGCUUAUACUACUACAGCCACAAAAUCUCUUUUAAAACUGAAAAGGGGGAGAUAUAGGGAGAUAUAGGAAGUACAGCUAUCUUUGUGCUCACAGAUAAGCACCAGAGAAACCUGGGGCGUUAAGCACACAGGGUCGUUCCUUCAAGGGAAGGAAUGCAAUACCUGUCCUCUGCCCAGAAGGCUGAAAGACCUUCUGACCUAGUGACCUUUGUGCUAUCUGUGUAGCUAGAAACUUCUCUGGCACUGGAUCCUCCCCUAGACCUUUAAUGCAAAAUUGUUUGUCUCAGUCAAUCUAUAGAACCUGUAUUCUAUAUCAUAUCUAUAUCAGUUUCAUAUCUGAUCUGUAUUUAGCUCGGUUUUUGUGUGUGGUUUGUUGUGAAUAUAGGAUUGAGUUAAUUAUCACGAGAAUAUUUUUUGCCAAAUGUGCUGUGCUUAAAUAUGUCUAAAUAAACCACGUGGAGUGGAACUCCGGUUUAAACCGA